AUGGAGAGACAUAUGCUGCUCAUGAUUCUCAUUGUAGUUACAGGUGGAUUUGCUGAAAAGAUUGGACCAGGAGAAGGAAAUACUAAUAUAAUGAAGGGAGAAGGAGAGUCUGUGACACUGAGCUGUUCAUAUGAUGCAAGCAGCAAUAAUGUUUAUCUUUACUGGUACAGACAGUAUCCAAAAGGAGAACCUCAGUAUUUACUGCUCAAAGGUGCUUGAUCACAGACUUAUGAGGAUAUAUCAGACCGUCGGUUUCGGUCAACAACAUCCCAAUCAUCCACUGAACUCAUUAUUGAUAAAGCAGCUCUGUCAGAUUCAGCUCUCUAUUAUUGUGCUCUAAGAGUAGUUGCCCAGUGA